GCCACGGUGGUCUAGCGGUUAGAACGCUGGCCUUGUAAUCCUGGGGGGGGGGGGUCUCGGGUUCGAAUCCCGACGGUGCCC
rnacentral:tRNA from 1 species